rnacentral:tRNA from 1 species
AAUUUUUAAUAUUAGAAAAUAAAAUAAUUGAAAUAAUCAUAUAAACAUUAUUUUCAAAUUUUUAAAAAAUUUUUAAAAAAUAAAUAAAUAAAUAUAUAAUUUAAAAAUAGAAACUAUUAAAGAAUUUAAUUUUAACAUUAUUUUUUAUAAUUUAAAAUAUAUAAAAAUUA